rnacentral:lncRNA from 1 species
GUCAUUGUUAGUAUUAGCUUUAUUUAAAGUAAGUUCAACAGGAUAGAUUUCUUUAAUAUACAUACUGAAGUCGUCAUUAUUGAGAGCCAAAAUAUCAUCCAAAUAUCUAAAAGUAUUAUUAAAUUUGUGUAUCAGAUGUUGUUUCGAUGGGUCUUUGCUUAUUUUUGUCAUAAAUUGUAACUCAUAGCAAUACACAAACAGGUCCGCAAUAAGUGGUGCACAGUUAGUCCCCAUUGGAAUUCCGAUAACCUGACGAUAUACGGAAUCC